rnacentral:lncRNA from 1 species
UAUUUCUUACUCCAAGUCCAGAGUUGGAAGGGAUCUCAGAAGCCGUUUUGUCCAUUUCAUUUAUUUUACAGAUGAGGAAACAGAGACCCAAGGAAGUUCAGUGAUAGCACAGUACGUGGCACAAAGUAAGUAAGUGCUUAAUAAAUAUUUGUUGACUGACUUACACUGGCAGGAUUUGACCCCAGGAACUUGAUGACUGCCAUCUUUUCUUCUAACUCCAGGAAUGAUGAUGAUAAUGAUGAUGAUGAUGAUGAUGAUGAUGGUGAUAAUGACAGGGAAGGCAAAUACCACUAACUUAUUGACUUUGGGCUGACCCAGUGCUGGUGACUUGAACUGGAGAGGUUGUUUGGUGAAGACUGUAACUAGCUGUCUGGUGAAUGGCAACUCUUUGGAGAGGAAUAAAGGAGAGAGAGCAGAACUAAUAUUGGUCCAGCUCGAGUAAAAUGGAAUACCAUUCAGCUCACUCUUAAUUCAAAACAGCUGUCGACUGGCCUCGGCUUCUGAUAUAGCAGGCGGAAUUCUUGGACACUGAGUUAUUCUUAGAAGUAUGUGCACAGACACUGGCAAGGUGGAAAGAAUGCUCUCACCCCAGGAGUGGUUGGAGUGUGUGUGUGUCUGUAUGUGGGUGCGUGCGGCCAUUUUCCACAGGAAACCAAGGGUAAGUGUUGGCAGAUCAAUAAUAUUCCUAGGUAGGAGGAGUGUUUCAAAGAGGGAUCCAUU